AUCGCUUCUCGGCCUUUUGGCUAAGAUCAAGUGUAGUAACUCUCAAGAAUAUCAGAUAAUUAAGUAAUGACAUAGAGAAUAUAAAGUAAGUAGAUUUUUAAAUGACCAGAU
rnacentral:snRNA from 1 species